rnacentral:rRNA from 1 species
UACGUAGGGUGCAAGCGUUGUCCGGAAUUAUUGGGCGUAAAGAGCUCGUAGGCGGUCUGUUGCGUCGGCUGUGAAAACCCGGGGCUCAACUCCGGGCCUGCGGCCGAUACGGGCAGACUAGAGUUCGGCAGGGGAGACUGGAAUUCCUGGUGUAGCGGUGAAAAUGCGCAGAUAUCAGGAGGAACACCGGUGGCGAAGGCGGUUCUCUGGGCAUUACCUGACGCUGAGGAGCGAAAGCAUGGGGGAGCGAACAGG